rnacentral:lncRNA from 1 species
UCACAUCUCAUUGAAGUUUUUAAAGUAAUUCACAACACAAAAUAAUUUUGUUACCAAAAAUCACAAAAUUAAAGCUCAAAACACAUAUUACAAUCACCGACAAACUCUUUCAUCUAAAGAAGAAAUUAAUUAUUCAUAAUUUCCUCACUCAUGCAAGGAAAUGAGGAAACUACACACGAAGAUUGCAGGAGAUAAUUUUGAGAAAAGUUUUCUCAACUGCUGACACCGGACAGAAACUAGACACGAAGAUUGCAGGAGACAGAACAAAGAAGAAACAGAAGGACGUGCGCUCGGACGUUCAUGCAUGUAUGGAAGACACUGUUUCCAUCGCAUUUCUUCUUUACUUUAACAAACAUUUUUCACUUUCAAUUUGAACUGUGCUCCUCCGUUAACCUCUUGAUAGAAAGUCACAGUAUCUCCACUUUUGAGGCCAACAUAGCGAGCAACAUCAUACCAACCUCUUUUAAAUACAAGGCUUCCUCUUAUGGUUGAGCAGUGAAUUGUCACUGGGUCCGGUAAACUGGUUCCUGCAGCUGACUCAACUAUGGUGGACAAUUCUAUGGUCCCUUGAAAAUGUUGCAGGGGUUCUAGGUUAGAACAGGGUGGUAGCACCAAUCCUCUAUCAAAAUCAAUAGGAGUGAGUUUCUUUGUGAAGAUUUCCAUGGCUAGUGAAAACUAAUGCUUUGAAAUAAUUAGGUUAAAGAAGGUUUUAUGUAUUUGUAGUGACAGGGGUAGCAAGUAUUUAUAGAGACUCAGCAGUGAUCUUAUGGUAAGC